ACAAAGAAGGGAAAGUUCACAACAUCAAAGAGAUAUAAAGCAUUACAAACACAGACAAAUAGAAGAAAAGCUCCUUUUAAUUUUCAUUUGUUAAUAAAGGAUCAGUUGCCGCCAUUAUGAAUGCAAAUAACACAAUGACACAAACAGAAUUUAGAUUCUUAAUUGUGAGCUAUACUGCAAUUUACUUUUUUGUUUUAACAGCUAACUUAAGGGAGUCACAGCUGAUGAC
rnacentral:misc_RNA from 1 species